rnacentral:tRNA from 1 species
GCCAUCUUAGCUCAGUUGGUAGAGCAACGGUUUUGUAAACCGUAGGUCGCGAGUUCGAGCCUCGCAGAUGGCU